AUACGGAGGGUGCAAGCGUUGUUCGGAAUCACUGGGCGUAAAGGGCGCGCAGGCGGUUUUACGAGUCAGAUGUGAAAGCCCACGGCUCAACCGUGGAAGUGCAUUUGAAACUGUAAGACUUGAGUAUCAGAGGGGAAGGUGGAAUUCCCGGUGUAGAGGUGAAAUUCGUAGAUAUCGGGAGGAAUACCGGUGGCGAAGGCGACUUUCUGGCUGAAUACUGACGCUGAGGCGCGAAAGCGUGGGGAGCAAACAGGAUUAGAAACCCUGGUAGUCC
rnacentral:rRNA from 1 species